CCCUUAGAUGUUCUGGGCCGCACGCGCGCUACACUGAUGCAUUCAACGAGUCCAACCUUGACCGAGAGGUCCGGGUAAUCUUUGAAACUGCAUCGUGAUGGGGCUAGAUUAUUGCAAUUAUUAAUCUUCAACGAGGAAUGCCUAGUAAGCGUGAUUCAUCAAAUCGCGUUGAUUACGUCCCUGCCCUUUGUACACACCGCCCGUCGCUCCUACCGAUUGAGUGUGUUGGUGAGGAGUUUGGAUUGGCCUCGGAAGGUGGUUCGCCACCGUCCGCAGCUGAGAAGUUCUCCAAACCGCCCCACUUAGAGGAAGGAGAAGUCGUAACA
rnacentral:rRNA from 1 species